GAUGAACGCUGGCGGCGUGCCUAAUACAUGCAAGUCGAGCGAACAGACGAGGCACUUGCUCCUCUGACGUUAGCGGCGGACGGGUGAGUAACACGUGGAUAACCUACCUAUAAGACUGGGAUAACUUCGGGAAACCGGAGCUAAUACCGGAUAAUAUAUUGAACCGCAUGGUUCAAUAGUGAAAUACGGUUUUGCUGUCACUUAUAGAUGGAUCCGCGCCGCAUUAGCUAGUUGGUAAGGUAACGGCUUACCAAGGCGACGAUGCGUAGCCGACCUGAGAGGGUGAUCGGCCACACUGGAACGGAGACACGGUCCAGACUCCUACGGGAGGCAGCAGUAGCGAAUCUUCCGCAAUGGGCGAAAGCCUGACGGAGCCACGCCGCGUGAGUGAUGAAGGUCUUCGGAUCGUAAAGCUCUGUUAUUAGGGAAGAACAAAUGUGUAAGUAACUAUGCACGUCUUGACGGUACCUAAUCAGAAAGCCACGGCUAACUACGUG
rnacentral:rRNA from 1 species